GCCAAUGUGGGGCGCAAGAGGAAUUGAUGUUAAGGUGGUGGCAGCUGACCCUUGGGUCAAUUCCCACCAUGUCUUCGUGUUCCCAGGCGAAGACAUCCAGUUCUUUUUCAAGUUGUUUAUCAUUUCUUCUUUCAUCUCGAGGGGUAUCGUUUUCCUAAUCCGCAAGACCUGAGUGAGGUUUUCAGGGUUGGUGGGGAAAGUUUCUAAUUCUUCCAUUGGGGUCGCAUUUGGUUUGGAUUCGAUGAUUCGAGGAUUCAACUCAUUAAAAGGGUGCCCUUCUUUAGGAGCCUCUACCAUGUCGAUGUCUUCCUCCUGUUCAGAGGUAUGCCCUUGUUAAGGGGCGUCGGGCAUUUCUAUGUCCACGUCGGAUCCGUUGGUGACCUCUGUUAGGAUGACAUUAACAAUGUCGGGUUCGGAUUUUCACAGAGAGUUGAGUUAACAUACCCUUGAGCCCAUUUGGUCACCUCGAAAUGUAGCAAUCCCAUGAUCAGUUGGGAAUUUUAUACACAAGUAAUGGAUGGAUGUAACUGUGCAAAGAUCUUUUAGGGCAGGUCGGCCCAAAACUCCAUGGUAAGCUGAUCUGUGGUCAACCACUGGGAACUCCAUGAAGUGGUGGGCCACUAGGAAGAUGACCCCAUCUCGACAGGUAGAGUAAUUCGCCAUCGUGGGACGAUGUUGUCGCCAGUAAAUCCAAAUAGUGGGUCAGUCAUGGGGAUCAACCUAUGUUCAAUCUGCAUUUUAUCGAAGGUGGACUCGAACAGUAUAUUCACCAUGCUGUCAUUGUCGACGAGUAUGCGUUUGAUUCUGUUUCAAGCUACUACGGCUCUUACCACUACGCAUCGCAAUGGGGAUAGUGGGCUCCUUGCGCAUCUUCUUGAGAGAAAGUGAUUGGGGUCAUCCUGUUGGCCUUUUGGGUAUGAUUGACAAUGUAGUGGGAUCAUUGGUGGAUCCUUUUCUUUCCUUGUGUAGUUCCUCUGGGCGUUCAUAGUGUUGCCCCCGAUGUGAAGCCUCCAAUGAUUGUAUCAGUUUUCCUGAUAACUUGGCCUCCAAAUGGGGCCUGAUCCCUAUGCCUGGAUUCUCCUCUGUCCCCGGAUUCUUUUCUCCAGGGCGAUUGGUCCCUAUAUUGCAUUUUUCCCUAUUCGGAGAGUUAGACCUGCAGGGGCAUUCAUCCCUUCGUGGGUUACUCCGGUUCGAGGAUCGAGGAGCAUCCCUACAUUUGCUAGUGUCAUGUCCGUAAAGUUGGUGAAAGGUGUAGAACCUUGCCCCCUCCAGGGGCUUGUUUGAUCACUUCUUCUUCUUCUUUCGAUUGUUGUUUGUUUCCUCGGAUGGUCCUGCUUCGGCAGGAACAUUUUCAUAUGCUAGUACUGGCACUGCAUUUAGAUUGGCUGAAGCCAAUGCCUGUCCUGAUGUGAGGGCUACUGUGUGAUCGACCUGGGUCCAUUGCUAGGUAACGACGUGUGCCGCCGGUCCUCGACCUACCUGCCUCUGAGGUGGAGAGAGUCCUUGUGCUGCACGAUUUCGGUGGUCGAUUAUCUCUUCAUUGACAAUCUCCACUCUCAUCAUUUCUACCAGCUCGCCAUCGGUAGUGGGAUUCUUGCUACAUACAUCUCUUUAGAACAAAGUAUUCAUGUUGAGGCCACAUUUCAAAGCUGAAAGGGCCUCUCUGUCAGUAACUUGCAUGCAAUAUGUGAUUUCAUCGGUGAAUCUGGCGAGAUAGCUCUUCAGCGUCUCGCCAGGGGCUUGCCUCAUAUCUUGCAUACGUUGCACUGGGGUCUCUCUUUCCUUUUGUAAAAGGUAUUAGUUCAAAAAUGCCUUCUUCAAGUCUAGCCAGCUUCUGAUGCUUAGGGGCGGUAACCAGCUGUAUCACACUUCAACAGCUCUGGUGAGGGUUAGAUGGAAGGCUCUACAUUUCAGUAUUAGUGAG
rnacentral:lncRNA from 1 species